UUGAUCCUGGCUCAGAACGAACGCUGGCGGCAAGCUUAACACAUGCAAGUCGAACGGACAGUUAUUUAUAGCCUCGGCUAUAAGUAUCUGUUAGUGGCAGACGGGUGAGUAAUGCGUAGGAAUCUGCCUAGUAGUAUGGAAUAGCUAUUAGAAAUGAUAGGUAAUACUGUAUAAUCCCUGAGGGGGAAAGAUUUAUCGCUAUUAGAUGAGCCUACGUUAGAUUAGCUAGUUGGUAAGGUAAUGGCUUACCAAGGCAAUGAUCUAUAGCUGGUCUGAGAGGACGAUCAGCCACACUGGAACUGAGAUACGGUCCAGACUCCUACGGGAGGCAGCAGUGGGGAAUAUUGGACAAUGGGCGAAAGCCUGAUCCAG
rnacentral:rRNA from 1 species